rnacentral:rRNA from 2 species
GGGUUGUGAGGUUAAGCGACUAAGCGUACACGGUGGAUGCCCUGGCAGUCAGAGGCGAUGAAGGGCGUACUAAUCUGCGAUAAGCGCCGGUAAGGUGAUAUGAACCGUUAUAACCGGCGAUACCCGAAUGGGGAAACCCAGUGUGAUUCGUCACACUAUCAUUAACUGAAUCCAUAGGUUAAUGAGGCGAACCGGGGGAACUGAAACAUCUAAGUACCCCGAGGAAAAGAAAUCAACCGAGAUUCCCCCAGUAGCGGCGAGCGAACGGGGAGGAGCCCAGAGCCUGAAUCAGCAUGUGUGUUAGUGGAAGCGUCUGGAAAGGCGCGCGAUACAGGGUGACAGCCCCGUACACAAAAGCGCAUGUGCUGUGAGCUCGAUGAGUAGGGCGGGACACGUGGUAUCCUGUCUGAAUAUGGGGGGACCAUCCUCCAAGGCUAAAUACUCCUGACUGACCGAUAGUGAACCAGUACCGUGAGGGAAAGGCGAAAAGAACCCCGGCGAGGGGAGUGAAAAAGAACCUGAAACCGUGUACGUACAAGCAGUGGGAGCCCCACCACCAAAGCAUUUGCUGUACCGCGUUGACGGAGCGAAGCGACGUCAAACCGAUAAAACAGCAGUGUAAAGU